rnacentral:rRNA from 1 species
GACGAACGCUGGCGGCGUACCUAAUACAUGCAAGUCGAACGCAUGUUCUUUCAUCGUAGCUUGCUACACCGACAGAAGGGGGGUGGCGAACGGGGGAGUAACCCGUUGGUAACGUGUCCCUCAGCGGGGGGUAACACAUUGCCACAGGCGCUAAUACCGCAUAAUUCCAUUUACCUCAUGGUAGAUGGAUGAAAGUCGCUUUUGCGUCACUUAUGGAGGGACUCGCGGUGGAUUAGCUAGUUGGUGGGGUAACGGCCUUCCAAGGCUGAGAUGCAUAUCCGAGCUGGGAGGGUGAAUCGCCAAACUGGGACUGAGGCAAGGGCCAGACUCCCUAGGGAGGCAGCAGUAGGGAAUCUUCGGCAAAGGACGCAAGGCUGACCGAGGAACGCCGCGGGAGGGAAGGAGGGUCUCGGAUUGUAAAACUCUGUUGUUAGGGAAGAACAAGGAUGAGGGUGGAAAGUUCAUCUCUUGACGGUAUCUAACCAGAAAGCCACGGCUAACUACGUG